CCUACGGGAGGCAGCAGUGGGGAAUAUUGCACAAUGGGGGAAACCCUGAUGCAGCAACGCCGCGUGAGUGAAGGAGGAUUUCGGUAUGUAAAGCUCUAUCAGUAGGGAAGAAGAAAGACGGUACCUGACGAAGAAGCGCCGGCUAACUACGUGCCAGCAGCCGCGGUAAUACGGAGGGGGCAAGCGUUAUCCGGAUUUACUGGGGGUAAAGGGAGCGUAGACGGCUGUGCAAGGCAGAAGUGAAAGCCCGUGGCUCAACCGCGGAACUGCUUUGGAAACUGUAUGGCUUGAGUACUGGAGAGGCAGGCGGAAUUCCUGGUGUAGCGGUGAAAUGCGUAGCUAUUAGGAGGAACACCAGUGGCGAAGGCGGCCUGCUGGACCGAAACUGACGUUGAGGCUCGAAAGCGUGGGGAGCAAACAGGAUUAGAUACCCGAGUAGUC
rnacentral:rRNA from 1 species